rnacentral:rRNA from 1 species
AUUGACCGAUGGCGGCAGGCCUCACACAUGCAUGUCGAGCGAGCGGCGGACGGGUGAGUAAUGUAUGGGGACUGCCCGAUAGCGGGGGAUAACUGCUGGGAACGGUAGCUAAUACCGCAUACUAUCGGAUAACCCAUAUGGGAUUAGCUAGUAGGUGAGGUAAUGGCUCACCUAGGCGACGAUCCCUAGCUGGUCUGAGAGGAUGAUCAGGCACACGGGGACUGAGACACGGCCCAGACUCCUACGGAGGCAGCAGUGGGGAAUAUUGCUCAAUGGGCGCAAGCCGGAUGCAGCCAUGCCGCGUGUAUGAAGAAGGCCCUAGGGUUGUAAAGUACUUUCAGUCGGGAGGCGUUACCGACAGAAGAAGCACCUGCUAACUCCGUGCCAGCAGCCGCGGUAAUUC